rnacentral:rRNA from 1 species
ACGCUGGCGGCGUGCCUAACACAUGCAAGUCGAACGGGGAUUUGUUUCGGCAGGAUCCUAGUGGCGAACGGGUGAGUAACGCGUAGGCAACCUGCCCUCCGGCCGGGGACAACACUCCGAAAGGGGUGCUAAUACCGGAUACGAAGUCUGUGCCGCAUGGUACGGAUUUGAAAGAUGGCCUCUAUUUAUAAGCUAUCGCCGGGGGAUGGGCCUGCGUCCGAUUAGCUGGUUGGUGGGGUAACGGCCUACCAAGGCGACGAUCGGUAGCCGGUCUGAGAGGAUGAACGGCCACAUUGGGACUGAGACACGGCCCAGACUCCUACGGGAGGCAGCAGUGGGGAAUCUUCCGCAAUGGGCGCAAGCCUGACGGAGCAACGCCGCGUGAGUGAGGAAGUUCUUCGGAACGUAAAGCUCUGUUGUUCCUGACGAACCUCCCCUCUAUCAACAACGGAGGGGACUGACGGUAGGGAACGAGGAAGCCACGGCUAACUACGUGCCAGCCGCCGC